rnacentral:rRNA from 1 species
ACGAACGCUGGCGGCGUGCCUAAUACAUGCAAGUUGAGCGCUGAAGGUUGGUACUUGUACCGACUGGAUGAGCAGCGAACGGGUGAGUAACGCGUGGGGAAUCUGCCUUUGAGCGGGGGACAACAUUUGGAAACGAAUGCUAAUACCGCAUAAAAACUUUAAACACAAGUUUUAAGUUUGAAAGAUGCAAUUGCAUCACUCAAAGAUGAUCCCGCGUUGUAUUAGCUAGUUGGUGAGGUAAAGGCUCACCAAGGCGAUGAUACAUAGCCGACCUGAGAGGGUGAUCGGCCACAUUGGGACUGAGACACGGCCCAAACUCCUACGGGAGGCAGCAGUAUGGAAUCUUCGGCAAUGGACGAAAGUCUGACCGAGCAACGCCGCGUGAGUGAAGAAGGUUUUCGGAUCGUAAAACUCUGUUGGUAGAGAAGAACGUUGGUGAGAGUGGAAAGCUCAUCAAGUGACGGUAACUACCCAGAAAGGGACGGCUAACUACGUG